rnacentral:lncRNA from 1 species
AGAACCCAGAGCGGUUAGAGGAAAUGUCUUCCUCCCCUACACAGCCUUGCAAUGUUUGAGGAAAAUAUUUCAGGGGACACUGAUAAUUUCAGGAGACAUGAACUUGAGAGGAGUUUGUGUAGCUUUUCUAAAAUAGACAAGAAAUAAUAACAGAAUGGUUUGUUACUCUAAGAAGCAGAAACAUAAAAGGAGUCAGAAUAUCUUGAAAAAGAAGAGAUGUUUUGGCUUUUUGGCUUCUUGUUGUGUAAUUACUUAAAAAUAUUUCAAAUGAUUACUUUACUGAAUUUCCUUUUCCUGUAGGAGCUUGAGAAAAACAUGUGAGAAUAAUACUUUCUCUUGCGCCCCAAUUUUUAUUUGUUUAUUUUGCAAGAUAUAACUGUGUUUAGAGAAAACCCCAAAUUUCUCUGUAGUUCCAGCCAGAAGCUUCAAACCUCUGAAAUGGCAUCAAGGGGAGGAAACGGCUGGGUGAGGGCCGUCCUUCAAGCAACGUCUGUCUUCCUUCUUCUUGCUGCCACUUCAGUCUCUUCUCGGAAAACAGUCCACCCCUAGGAAAAAGGAUGGAAAAAGGAGCCUCUUCACACGGUGGGUUAUCUGGGUAGAGAAAGAAGAAAGGGCACACGAUCCCGUCACAGUUUACUCAUCUUGACAUGAUCUAUGUGUGCGAAGAGCUGUUAGGAGUAAACUCAAAACUCAGCUAAAUCUUAAUGGAAGUCAUUUCCAAUAGAUCCUUCGACUGAACGGUGAGCAGAUUGUCCAUUUCAGCGUUGAUGUGUGUGCAAGCACAGAAUUGUUUAUGUAGAAGAUACAAUUUUAAAUAUCAAAUGAGGUAAAAAUUGA